GACGAACGUCCGCUCCAGGGCUCACACACGCAAGCCGAGGGGCAGCCACGGUCUACGCUCGCUCAGGCCGACGGCGACCGGCGCACGGGCGAGUCACGCGUCUCCAACCCGCUCUCCACUCUCGGACAGCUCUCCUCGGAAGGGAGAUUAAUACAAGAUCGUUAUCAUGAGUAAGCAUUUUCGCACGAUUAAAGGUUUACCGGUGUAAGAUGGGGAUGCGUUUCCAUUUAGAUAGUAGGCGGGGUAACGGCCCACCUAGUCUUCGAUGGAUAGGGGUUUCUGAGAGGAAGGUCCCCCACAUUGGAACUGAGACACGGUCCAAACUCCUACGGGAGGCAGCAGUGAGGAAUAUUGGUCAAUGGACGAGAGUCUGAACCAGCCAAGUAGCGUGAAGGAUGAAGGUUCUAUGGAUUGUAAACUUCUUUUAUACGGGAAUAAACGAAUCCACGUGUGGAUUUUUGCAUGUACCGUAUGAAUAAGGACCGGCUAACUCCGUGCCAGCAGCCGCGGUAAUACGGAGGAUUCCGAGCGUUAUCCGGAUUUAUUGGGUUUAAAGGGAGCGUAGAUGGGUUGUUAAGUCAGUUGUGAAAGUUUGCGGCUCAACCGUAAAAUUGCAAUUGAUACUGGCAGUCUUGAGUACAGUUGAGGUAGGCGGAAUUCGUGGUGUAGCGGUGAAAUGCUUAGAUAUCACGAAGAACUCCGAUUGCGAAGGCAGCUUACUAACCUGUAACUGACAUUGAUGCUCGAAAGUGUGGGUAUCAAACAGGAUUAGAUACCCUGGUAGUCCACACGGUAAACGAUGAAUACUCGCUGUAGGCGAUAUACAGUCUGCGGCCAAGCGAAAGCAUUAAGUAUUCCACCUGGGGAGUACGCCGGCAACGGUGAAACUCAAAGGAAUUGACGGGGGCCCGCACAAGCGGAGGAACAUGUGGUUUAAUUCGAUGAUACGCGAGGAACCUUACCCGGGCUUAAAUUGCAACCGAAUAUGGCGGAAACGCUAUAGCUAGCAAUAGCGGUUGUGAAGGUGCUGCAUGGUUGUCGUCAGCUCGUGCCGUGAGGUGUCGGCUUAAGUGCCAUAACGAGCGCAACCCUUGCCGAUAGUUACUAACAGGUUAUGCUGAGGACUCUGUCGGGACUGCCAUCGUAAGAUGUGAGGAAGGUGGGGAUGACGUCAAAUCAGCACGGCCCUUACGUCCGGGGCUACACACGUGUUACAAUGGGGGGUACAGAGGGCUGCUACCACGCAAGUGGAUGCCAAUCCCAAAAACCUCUCUCAGUUCGGAUUGAAGUCUGCAACCCGACUUCAUGAAGCUGGAUUCGCUAGUAAUCGCGCAUCAGCCACGGCGCGGUGAAUACGUUCCCGGGCCU
rnacentral:rRNA from 1 species